rnacentral:rRNA from 1 species
CCUACGGGCCGCACCAGUAGGGAAUCUUCGGCAAUGGACGAAAGUCUGACCGAGCAACGCCGCGUGAGUGAAGAAGGUUUUCGGGUCGUAAAACUCUGUUGGUAGAGAAGAACGUUGGUGAGAGUGGAAAGCUCACCAAGUGACGGUAACUACCCAGAAAGGGACGGCUAACUACGUGCCAGCAGCCGCGGUAAUACGUAGGUCCCGAGCGUUGUCCGGAUUUAUUGGGCGUAAAGCGAGCGCAGGUGGUUUAUUAAGUCUGGUGUAAAAGGCAGUGGCUCAACCAUUGUAUGCAUUGGAAACUGGUAGACUUGAGUGCAGGAGAGGAGAGUGGAAUUCCAUGUGUAGCGGUGAAACGCGUAGAUAUAUGGAGGAACACCGGUGGCGAAAGCGGCUCUCUGGCCUGUAACUGACACUGAGGCUCGAAAGCGUGGGGAGCAAACAGGAUUAGAUACCCCUGUAGUC